AGAGUUUGAUCAUGCCUCAAAAUGAACGUUGGCGGCGUGGAUUAGGCAUGCAAGUCGAGCGAGAAGUCUUAGUUUGAAGCUUCGGCCGAUUUCUAAGAUGGACAGCGGCGAAAGGGAGAGUAAUGAGUGGAUUACCUACCCCCAGGACCGGGAUAGCUGUGGGAAACCGCAGGUAAUACCGGAUAAUAUCUCCGGAUCAAAUGGUGAGAUUCCGCCAGGGGAUGGGUCCGCUUCCUAUUAGCUUGUUGGUGGGGUAACGGCCUACCAAGGCAACAAUGGGUACCGGGUGUGAGAGCAUGGCCCGGCUCACUGGGACUGAGACACUGCCCAGACACCUACGGGGGGUGGCUGCAGUCGAGAAUCUUCCGCAAUGGGCGAAAGCCUGACGGAGCGACGCCGCGUGCGGGAUGAAGGCCUUCGGGUUGUAAACCGCUGUCAGUUGGGAGGAAAUCUAUGGGGGUUAUCCCCCGUAGUUGACCUAUCUUCAGAGGAAGGACGGGCUAAGUUCGUGCCAGCAGCCGCGGUAAGACGAACCGUCCAAACGUUAUUCGGAAUCACUGGGCUUAAAGGGUGCGUAGGCGGCUUGGAAAGUUGGGUGUGAAAUCCCUCGGCUCAACCGGGGAACUGCGCUCAAAACUGCCAAGCUAGAGGAAGAUAGAGGUGAGCGGAACUAAUGGUGGAGCGGUGAAAUGCGUUGAUAUCAUUAGGAACACCUGUGGCGAAAGCGGCUCACUGGGUCUUUUCUGACGCUGAGGCACGAAAGCUAGGGUAGCGAACGGGAUUAGAUACCCCGGUAGUCCUAGCUGUAAACGAUGAGCACUAGGUUGGAGGCUCCUCCAUAGGCUUCCGACCGAAGCGAAAGUGUUAAGUGCUCCGCCUGGGGAGUAUGGUCGCAAGGCUGAAACUCAAAGGGAUUGACGGGGCUCACACAAGCGGUGGAGGAUGUGGCUUAAUUCGAGGAUACGCGAAGAACCUUAU
rnacentral:rRNA from 1 species